GUGCUUGCUUUGGCAGCAUAUAUACUAAAAUUGGAAUGAUACAUAGAUUAUCAUGGCCCCUGCGCAAGGAUGACAUGCAAAUUCGUGAAGCAUUGGAUAUUUUU
rnacentral:snRNA from 1 species